ACACACACACACACACACACACACACACACACUAUGCUUGUGGAUACACCUUAAUUAUUCUAAAUCUGAUAGUGUAAAUGGAAUUUUUAUAGCAUCCCAAAUUGAUGGUAUUACUUUAACCACAUUUUAGCAAUGCCUCCUACCAGAUUGUUCUUAAUGGGAAACUUCAAGUUGACUGGCAUAAUGAGCUAUCUCCCUAUCAUUUUGUAAAAAUACUCAGAUCCCAUUUCUUUCCCAGCUUUCCCAUUCAGAUUCCUUAUCACAUGACUAGAAAUCUUAAGCUGAAAUGCCUUGCGCAGACUCCUCUGUAGAGAACAGCUCAACCAAUAGUGAACACUUUCUUUGGCAUGGCUAAAGUGAUGAGCACAAGGCCAAAGGUGAAUUUGUGAAUAAAGAGCCACCUGCUCCCUCUUCCAGACAGGAAGCUCCUGGCAUCAAGCCCUUGAAGCUGGCAACAAGUAAAAAUGUCAAGCCCCUUGUCAGUGGCGAUACACAUCAGUGCCAAGGUGGGGAGAACUCUCUCAAGGAAGGGUCUGAAGAUCAACCAUUCGGCUGACUCUUAGGGAAUGGCUCUCUGGGAAGGAAGAAAGAUGGGAAUCAUUUGGAGAAGAAAGAGAUAUAAAAGCAGAAGGCAAUAAUUUAAAAAUAUUAAGUAAUGAUAAAAAAAGCCAUGUAUAGUCAAAUAUAUGAUGCUCUUACAUUUUCUGACAGUCUUUUGCUCCAUAUGUUAACUUCAUUUUACCGCUAUUAUUUUUUAUUAAGUUCUGACAAAUUUGGAUUAUUUAGAAUAAAGUUUGGAUACUUGAUAUUUUAAGCUGAGAACUACUCUUGCUUCAGAAUAAUAGUCUAAUGGUACUACUCAAGAGGCUAUGGUUAUGUGCUACUAAACCAAGUCAUACUUGCUGCUUGCAAAAUCCCCGAGUGCAGCCCUGACGAGAUUAAAAUGUAAUUGUGAAAUGUUAAAAUAUAACAUGGAUAGCAUCAAGCUGUGGCUUUCUAAGUCACUGUGUAGCCACAGAAAUACCACUGAACAAAACUAUCAUGGUGCCUGGUUGAGUAGCCAGAAAUAGGGGUAUGGCCCAGGUAGGUGGCAAGGAGCCUGCUAUCGAAAAUAGAGUCACAACCACAAUUGAGAAUGCUUCCAAUUUCA